rnacentral:rRNA from 1 species
GAUGAACGCUGGCUACAGGCUUAACACAUGCAAGUCGAGGGGAAACGACGGGGAAGCUUGCUUCCCCGGGCGUCGACCGGCGCACGGGUGAGUAACGCGUAUCCAACCUGCCUCUGACUGAGGGAUAACCCGUCGAAAGUCGGCCUAAUACCUCAUGGUAUCGUCUGCGGGCAUCCAACGACGAUUAAAGAUUUCAUCGGUCAGGGAUGGGGAUGCGUCUGAUUAGCUUGUUGGCGGGGUAACGGCCCACCAAGGCUACGAUCAGUAGGGGUUCUGAGAGGCAGGUCCCCCACAUUGGAACUGCGACACGGUCCAAACUCCUACGGGAGGCAGCAGUGAGGAAUAUUGGUCAAUGGGCGAUAGCCUGACCCAGCCAAGUAGCGUGCAGGAAGACGGCCCUAUGGGUUGUAAACUGCUUUUAUGCGGGGAUAAAGUGAGGGACGUGUCCCUCAUUGCAGGUACCGCAUGAAUAAGGACCGGCUAAUUCCGUG